UGUUGAAACACCUGUUCUCCUGCGAUUACCAAAGUUAAUCAGAAUUGAGCCUGGUCAGUAUUGAGAUGGGUGACUGCUUAGGAAUACCAGUUGCUGUAAG